GGAUUUAUAGCUUCUACUGAAAAAACUCCACUUGCAAACAAUGGAAAACACAGCUUACUCACACCUGGGUCUGUGUUGAACAUGAAUGCACCAGUCAGUUCUCAUGAUCAAACUCCUCUGUCCAAUGUCACAAGCAAUCAUAAUGGUUCCUCCUCUACUGGUAUUUUUUGUCCAUUGGAUAGAAGUGUUGGGAGAUUACCUCUUGCACAGACAAACAGAAAAAGAGAUA